UGGGGAGUAGCCAAGUGGUAAGGCAACGGACUUUGACUCCGUGAUGCGCAGGUUCGAACCCUGCCUCCCCAGCCA
rnacentral:tRNA from 1 species